rnacentral:rRNA from 1 species
CCUACGGGAGGCAGCAGUGAGGAAUAUUGGUCAAUGGGCGUAAGCCUGAACCAGCCAAGUCGCGUGAGGGAUGAAGGUUCUAUGGAUCGUAAACCUCUUUUAUAAGGGAAUAAAGUGUGGGACGUGUCCUGUUUUGUAUGUACCUUAUGAAUAAGGAUCGGCUAACUCCGUGCCAGCGGCCGCGGUAAUACGGAGGAUCCGAGCGUUAUCCGGAUUUAUUGGGUUUAAAGGGUGCGUAGGCGGCAUUUUAAGUCAGCGGUGAAAGCCUCUGGCUCAACCAUAGAAUUGCCGUUGAAACUGGGAGGCUUGAGUAUGUGUGAGGCAGGCGGAAUGCGUGGUGUAGCGGUGAAAUGCUUAGAUAUCACGAGGAACCCCGAUGGCGAAGGCAGCCUGCCAAGCCAUGACUGACGUUGAGGCACGAAAGCGUGGGGAUCAAACAGGAUUAGAUACCCCUGUAGUC